UCGAGCUUGUGUCCAAGUAUACCCGACGGAGCGGAGCAGGGACUUGGACCCCGAGGGGCCUGGGAUGGCUGGACGUGUUCGAAUGCUGAACUUAAAGCGGAAAGGCCUUCAUUUUCUCAGCCUCCUUGCAUCCCAUCCCAUCCUAUCUAGCUCCUUUCCCCUUCCCCGGACCUCCUGAGAGAGCAAUUGCAAAUGACCUCAGUGUGGCAGCGUGUGUUGGACAGGACCAGGGAUUUGGGAUCAGGAAGACCUGGGUUGCGUGCACCCCGGCUGUGCAGCGGGAUUCGAUGCUGCAGACUCUUAUUCCCUAAGGCUAUCUUGACAACUGACUUUUACAUAGAAAAGCUGUCCUUUAUGUUUAAAAGAUGAGGAGUGAGUCAAAGCCUUUUUUCUCUGCCCAUCUGAUUGCUCAGAUUCCAAUCUGAGAUGUAUUUCCUGUUAAUAAGGAUAAUUUACUAUCCAUAGUACUAUGGUUAAAAUAUUCUGACACAAGUAAUUCAGAGGGAUGAGGGUUUCUCGUCUCUUUCUUCCCAGCUCAGUCACUCCUCAGGAAAUGCAUCUUUAUGGAUUUGGAAAGAACUGAGAGACAUUAUUACCAAUGGUCCUAUUAUUAUGUGAAGGAUUCUUCCCUGAGAUUCUUCCCCUGUUUCAACUGACACUGAAACACUGAACUCUUUUGAAGACAAAUGUCAAGGAAAUAAAUGUUAUGCAUUGCUAAUUUUAAUUGCACUUGCAAUAUGGUGUCUAUUAUACUAAAAGUAUUUUUAUCUGAUUUUUGCUAUUUAUUAUCCGUUCCUGCUUUUGAGGUUAGGGAGGCAUUAUACGUGUUCAUAAGUGUUUUUAUUUCCUUCUGAUCUAAAAUUUUUACUUUGUUUCCAUCAAAGGAACUCUUUAAGAAUAAGGCAACAGUUAAUUAAACUAUUCUUAAAAUGUC